rnacentral:rRNA from 1 species
UACGUAGGGGGCAAGCGUUGUCCGGAAUCAUUGGGCGUAAAGAGCGUGUAGGCGGCCAGAAAAGUCCGCUGUGAAAACUCGAGGCUCAACUUCGAGCUGUCGGUGGAAACUUUCUGGCUAGGGUCCGGAAGAGGAGAAUGGAAUUCCCAGUGUAGCGGUGAAAUGCGCAGAUAUUGGGAGGAACACCAGCGGCGAAGGCGGCACUCUGGGCUGGUACUGACGCUGAGGAGCGAAAGCGUGGGUAGCGAACAGG